rnacentral:lncRNA from 1 species
CGGUGGACAAGGACUCUUGGCAGCGGCAGAGUUUCUCCAGCUUGGCCUCCUCCUUCUUGGCGGCCUUCUUGCUCACCUUGGGUUGUUGCUCCAGCGGCGGGGGCUUCCGCUUCCGAUGACAUGGCGGCGAUCAGUAAGUUCCGAGUGAGCAAGAGGACGGAGAGAUCGGCGACAACGUGGGAGGGAAGAGGUGUUGAGGUCGCGAG